ACUGCAAGUCGAACGGUGAAGCCAAGCUUGCUUGGUGGAUCAGUGGCGAACGGGUGAGUAACACGUGAGCAACCUGCCCUGGACUCUGGGAUAAGCGCUGGAAACGGCGUCUAAUACUGGAUAUGAGCUCUCAUCGCAUGGUGGGGGUUGGAAAGAUUUUUCGGUCUGGGAUGGGCUCGCGGCCUAUCAGCUUGUUGGUGAGGUAAUGGCUCACCAAGGCGUCGACGGGUAGCCGGCCUGAGAGGGUGACCGGCCACACUGGGACUGAGACACGGCCCAGACUCCUACGGGAGGCAGCAGUGGGGAAUAUUGCACAAUGGGCGGAAGCCUGAUGCAGCAACGCCGCGUGAGGGAUGACGGCCUUCGGGUUGUAAACCUCUUUUAGCAGGGAAGAAGCGAGAGUGACGGUACCUGCAGAAAAAGCGCCGGCUAACUACGUGCCAGCAGCCGCGGUAAUACGUAGGGCGCAAGCGUUAUCCGGAAUUAUUGGGCGUAAAGAGCUCGUAGGCGGUUUGUCGCGUCUGCUGUGAAAUCCCGAGGCUCAACCUCGGGCCUGCAGUGGGUACGGGCAGACUAGAGUGCGGUAGGGGAGAUUGGAAUUCCUGGUGUAGCGGUGGAAUGCGCAGAUAUCAGGAGGAACACCGAUGGCGAAGGCAGAUCUCUGGGCCGUAACUGACGCUGAGGAGCGAAAGGGUGGGGAGCAAACAGGCUUAGAUACCCUGGUAGUCCACCCCGUAAACGUUGGGAACUAGUUGUGGGGACCAUUCCACGGUUUCCGUGACGCAGCUAACGCAUUAAGUUCCCCGCCUGGGGAGUACGGCCGCAAGGCUAAAACUCAAAGGAAUUGACGGGGACCCGCACAAGCGGCGGAGCAUGCGGAUUAAUUCGAUGCAACGCGAAGAACCUUACCAAGGCUUGACAUAUACGAGAACGGGCCAGAAAUGGUCAACUCUUUGGACACUCGUAAACAGGUGGUGCAUGGUUGUCGUCAGCUCGUGUCGUGAGAUGUUGGGUUAAGUCCCGCAACGAGCGCAACCCUCGUUCUAUGUUGCCAGCACGUAAUGGUGGGAACUCAUGGGAUACUGCCGGGGUCAACUCGGAGGAAGGUGGGGAUGACGUCAAAUCAUCAUGCCCCUUAUGUCUUGGGCUUCACGCAUGCUACAAUGGCCGGUACAAAGGGCUGCAAUACCGUGAGGUGGAGCGAAUCCCAAAAAGCCGGUCCCAGUUCGGAUUGAGGUCUGCAACUCGACCUCAUGAAGUCGGAGUCGCUAGUAAUCGCAGAUCAGCAA
rnacentral:rRNA from 1 species